CUUCCUCUUUCUCUUGCCAGGGUUGUUGGCGUGGCCGUGUGUCCAGGUUCCUCCUUUUCUGCAAAGGAAUCCAUCGCUAAUCUCCGACUGAAGGAAAAAUGGAGGUGCGCUAUUCGAGGCCUUCACAUCAAGGCAGUGCUGUAGCUUAUGGAAAACACCGGUUAGGUGUACAUUUUAAGCAAACUUAUUCUACGUGCUUUUAGCUCCUUGCAGAUGAUAUAUCAGAUUUUUCUCCCCUUCACAGUAUUCUAAAGUGAACAGCUGCACAAGAUGUACUGAGUAAAUCUUCAAAAGGACCAGGAUUUCCAGACUGGUUACAGGAAUUGGAUGCCUUAGAUGAUCAGUGAAACAAAGGGAUAAUGCUUUUGAAAAGAUGAGUGCAAGCAACAGAGGCGGUUCUUUCCUCCUGUGUUUUCUGCUUCCCUUGUGACUGUUCUGCGGGCAUGUCAUUUCCUGGGGAAAGAGGAAUGGUAGACGGCUAAAGGAGCAAGUAAGCACCAGGUAAUAACACCGGUGGGUGCCCUGUUGAGAUCGCUGGUUUUAAAUGGAGAAAGAGCUGUGGAAAGGUUGGGCUUGUUGUAUGAUUGUGAAAGGCUGCCUGGUAAAAGUUUUAAAUGUAACAGUUCCCGAUGACCGUUCCUUUCACUGUCACAAGCCUUGGGCAGUGGGUUUUUGUGUCAUCGUAUAUUAAAAGUGGCUUUUCUUCACUCAGGGGAGUCAGGGACGGGUUUGGCUGUCCCAUGGCUCUUUUCUGAAUUUUGCGGAGUCUCACAUUCUGAAAUGAACACAGGGAAUUGAAGUUGGAGUUCAAGGCACAAAUGGCCAUCUCCUGUUACUUCUGGGAAAAGCGCCUGUACAGAAGACAGGGAUUCUGCCAUGUCUGAAAACAAGAUGGUGGAUUCUUAGAAUUUCCUUUGAUUUUUGAGUGGUCACCUGUUUCUGCCUGAAUAAAGUUGUGGCUUGAUAUUUGUUU